rnacentral:rRNA from 1 species
UGGUGGAGUGAUUUGUCUGGUUAAUUCCGUUAACGAACGAGACCCCUGCCUGCUAAAUAGCCUGAUUAGUGCUUUUCACUGGCAUGGCUUCCUAGAGGGACGUGCAUUCAUUCAGUUGCAGGAAGACAGGGGCAAUAACA